rnacentral:rRNA from 1 species
UACAGAGGGUGCGAGCGUUGUUCGGAAUUAUUGGGCGUAAAGGGCGCGUAGGCGGCGCGGUAAGUCACCUGUGAAAUCUCCUGGCUCAACUGGGAGCUUGCAGGCGAAACUGCCGUGCUGGAGUGUGGGAGAGGUGCGUGGAAUUCCUGGUGUAGCGGUGAAAUGCGUAGAUAUCAGGAGGAACACCUGUGGCGAAGGCGGCUCACUGGCCCGGUACUGACGCUGAGGUGCGAAAGCGUGGGGAGCAAACAGG